AACAAAAAAUUGUGCUUCUUUCCUCUCGUUCAUUCAGUCCAGUUUCUCUCUCCCCCUGUUCUAGUUUUUUGCCGGCGAGAAGAAUUUUGCCAUCAAUCACUUUACCUUCUUCAAUCAAUUCAGUAGGGUGAAAAAGGGGUUAUUGAUGCUCGCGACUCUCUAUCUCUCUUUGUCUCACGUCUCGUUCGCUCUCGACGGCCUUCAAACUCUCUGUUCUUCUCCAAUUCUCUGUUUUCGAUUCUUUUACGUCUCAUGCAUGAAUGUAAGUCAAAGUAUAUUACUAAAGUCAACGAGAAGCUUACCGAACUUCAAAGGUUUCUCAAUGUCAGAAAAAACCAUUUAAAUGAAGGUGUCGAGGAGGACGUCUCCAUGGAUGAGAUUGAAAGAGUUAUUGAAAGGGAGGUGGAAAAUGUAUCAGAUGAUGAAGCACAUCAUGCAUCAAAUUUGUUGACUAUAAUUAAGGACAAGCCAAGAGACCGUGUAAAAAGUGGGGUUCUGCUUUCAUCGUGGGUGAAGAAUGGACGCAUAAAGAAGAUGAUUUAAAUUAGUGUAGUGUUUUGAUAUGAUUGUAAUGUAGAAUUUUUUUGAUGCUAUUUUUUAAUUAGUAGGAUCAUGUCGCACCUAUAAUAUUAAUGGAAACACCAUAUGUUGUUAGUUA